GUACAUGAUGAGCUCUGGCUAUGAUCUCUUUGAUAAGCCACAGACCUUGGUUGUCACUGAUGUCUGACUUCGUCAUUUUGACUGUCUUCUGACCCCCCCCCCCCCCCCUGGUUGGAUUGGACAAAAUCCAAGGGAAGUAAUAAGCUUUAAAGGGAGAUGAUUUCUAUACCUGCCAAAUGAUAAAUAUAAAUUUUAUUUCAAAGCGGCGCUGUUUGACAUUAAAUUGAAUAUUACGAAAAAAUACAAAGAUGGAUAACUCAUUCCAUUCUUUUUGGGACAAACAGACCUGCAGCAAGGAACAGGGGAAAAUCAUGGGAAUGUUUGAAGAGUUUAAGUCAGAAGCGUAAGCUUUCCACCGGGGAUACUCCUGGAUGGUCUUAACUUAAGGGACAGUCCAGGUUUGUCCUCUCAGGUGUCCAAACUGUCCAAAGAGAAUGCAUUUAUUUUUGACGCAGAUGCUAACAAAGAAAGGCAGUACCAACUUCGUUGUGAAGAGUCAAGCAUGGUACAUCCCUGGGGCAUGCCUCAGGUGGGAAUUCCAUCUGCAACAAGAUGCUAAAGGUGAACCCAUCAGAGUGUGUUACUAACCACUUCAAGACCAAACAGCCUCACAUUGAUUCGAAGAUAAAGAAGGCGUUGAAAAAUGACAGCAGUUUUGAUGUGUCAUCCAGUUUGCUCUUCGACUCUCAACCCAACGUUAGUUAGAACGCAAACUCAGCAUUUAGCGUUAUCAGCGAGGCCCGAAGGUCAUCUCUGCUUCUUAAGCUUCAGAUAAAAUUAUAAGCCAACAAGACGAACAUCGUUGAAUCAUUUCGCACAUAUACUAAAACUCGCUUAAGAAAUUCAGCACGUCACUUAUGAACAUCUUCUCGCAAGGCGGCUACAUCAGCACUUCCAAUAGCUGAGCCUUGGUGAGUUCCACUCCUGUCCCGAUGAGUCGCUCGAGGUGAAACAAUCUGAUCCACAGAUAGAGCAGACGCUGAGUGACUCGUCUGUUAACGUGACUGACCUUCAUAUGUUGCUCUCUAAUAUUGUGCCUGAGGAGCAGUGUUGGCCUACAUUCCCUGUUCAGGGCGGUGACUUUGGCGUCAAGACUCACACAAUCUCUGUCUAUGGCCCUAUCGCAGCAGCAGCAGCAAAAAAAACAGGAAGUAUUUCAGCUGCACUCUGGGAAAACAGGGCUUAAUGCAUGUGUUUAAAGUGUUGUCCCAGAUAAAGGUGUUAAGUCUGCCGGCUGUUAUCAGUGACCGCACUUUCCGAAUAAGCCUUUAAAUGAAAAAUUCCAUAAAAGCGGAAAGUGUCAUGGCUGAUGAUUUUCAAGACUCACACAACCUCUGUCUAUGGCCCUGUCGCAGCAGCAACAAAAACAGGAAGUAUUUCAGCUGCACUCUGGGAAAACAGGGCUUAAUGCAUGUGCCUAAAGUGUUUUACCCACGAAAGCGUGUUAAGUCUGCCCAAGCUAAUUUGUGACCACACUUUCCGAAUGUAUCUUAAAACAAAGAAUUCCAUAAAAGCUGAAAGUGUCGUGGCUGAUUAGCUUGUGCAGACUGUACAUGCAAAUCUGGAACAACUCUUUACACUUAUGCAUUUAGCCCAGUUUUUAAAGAGUUUAGAGUUGCACAUUUAGUUCACAUUACAUCAGCUUUACUGACCUUUUUGGAGAAAAGUUCUUAUUACCAAUCAGGAAUUUUGCGGUUUUUGACUGUUCAAACUGAGUUAAUAAAAUGCAUAUUAGAGUUGAUUUGAUAUCAGUUUUAACCAUGGGGGUAAGGGCAUAUUUUCAUACCUUUUUGUUUGUUUUCACUUGUAUAUAAACCCCUUACAUAAAUUAUACAAAAUACUGAUGUUUUAUUUAAAUAAAACAAUUAUUGAAAUGCAGUCAACAUUUUAAAAAAAUUAUCUGCAUUUCAUUUAUUAUUAGGUAACAAAAUUUAAUAUAUUUUUACAUAAAUUGAAAUUAAUCACCUGUCCAGGUUUUCAGUUUACAAAUAUGCCCCUGGAGUGAGAAUAUGAAGUGAAGAUAUUAAUUAAUUAUUGCCCCCGGCUAAUUGGGGUAUAUAGGAAUCACCUUGGACAGACGUCUGUCUCUCUUUUCAUAUGUCUGUGGGCGUUCACUUACAAUUCAACGUUAAGCAUUCAAACUUUCAGGUAUUGUUUAAUCUCAUACGUGGUUGUGCAUGUACAUUUUGUAUCAUAAUACUCUAAAAAUUACAAAACUUAGACAUUAUAUAACCUCAUGCUUCAUAGACUUGUGGCAUUGGGGGAUAUUCUAUGUAACAAUGGUUACAAAUUAUUGUUUGACUAGAUGUUGUUUUCUUCUAAGUAUUUUAAAAAAAAGAGCCAUAUUUUGCUUUCGGAUUGAGUCAGCCUCAUAACUUGUUAAUUUAAUAAUUUAAUGGUCAUGAAAUAAUUUCUAUGGCCAUUCUCUCUCUGAUUCUAGUACGGCAAUUGUCUGUUACUGGCAUAAGUAUAUGUACUCAGUAAGGCCAGGAAAAGGUUAACUUAAUGACCACACUACUACGACUAAAAUGCAUUUUUGUGUGUGUAGGAUCAAUUAAAAAAAAAGAUAAAAUUCCAGUACUUUUUAGCUGUUUCCUACAGGACCCCGUACAAUUACAGAUUGGUGCACAGCUGAACAACAGGCUCUCUCUCCUAAGCCAGGCCUGAACGCAUGGGGUCACUUCCUGUGAAUGGGUGGGGUCAUACCGUUGCCAGUUCAAGCUUAGAGGACCAUGUUCCCCAAAUCCAAUGUGGCCCUAUAUCUCAACAGGAAUACCUCGCAGAGCUAAUGAACAGAGCCAGUGCGUAGAACAUGAUUUUUAAGAGGAAUAGGAACCUAGGCCCAAUAUCAACCUGGUUCCAAUCUCGCGAAGAUGUCCACCGGCCGCCCCCUAGCACAAGCCUCGUUAGCCCCAAGGUGUUGUCAUGAUGCCCCUGGACAACAGCUCUUGUUGGGCUCUUCCCAAUAGCAGUAGAUCAACAUGGCAUAUCAGCAUGAUGCCCCAAACCAGCGCUUCAUAUUUAGCUACCAGCAGUAUCCAUGCAACCAAACCUUGAUCACUCAGCAACAGAUAAAUCAGCAGCAGGGAUGGAGUUAGCCGUUUCAACGUCUGCUCAGUUUCCUCUCAGAGCCAGUCGGCUUGCUGUGUUGCUUAGCCAAUCCACUACUUAUGUCGCAGCACAAUAUCUCAUCUGGAUCCAUUCCACUGCUGGCGCAACAGCAGGUCUGUUCUCUGUACAGAGCCGUUUCUAUGACGAUGAAGUCCUACAACUCGCCCAGUACUUGCUUUUGCGUCAGGGUCAGGUUCAAGGCCUCAUGGGCUUUGGUGGUCUGGGCAAGAUGGGAAUGUUAGACAGCAACAACAACAGUUAAGAAAAUAGCAACAGCAUAAUAGACAGACACAGCAGCAAUGGCCACAGCACCAACAAUAGCAGUAACAGAUGAUGGCUUAGCUUCAUCAGCAACAGCAGAAGCAACAAGAUCUUACGUCCAUGGACCAUUUAGAUGUCACUUUAGAAAUUCAGAAGAUCUUUAUGAAAGAAACGCCAAUUGAAAAAUAUCCAAACCGUCCAAUCAGAAAGACAGUCUGUUGCAGCAGUUAUUCAAACCUAGGAUGCUUAGUGAUAAACAUAAAUAAACACAUGCUAGUCCCUAAGUGCCUGCAUUGGCUGUUUUAAAGCCUUGCUGUCCAUUCUGAACACUUAAAUGGAAGCUCUCACCUUAGAAUUUUGGGAUAGGUCGAAACCCAGUGGCAUGGUGCAGACUAACAUCGCAGAAUGACAAAGAAGUACAAGCCUGUGACCAGCAAUAAACUAAUGUGGCCAGCUAUGUUGUGUCAUGUGACCAGCCAAGCUGUGUGUAAAGAGAAAACUAUAGUUCAUGUCUUGUGGGAUUUAUGACGCUUUAAGUGAUUUGCUAUUAUAUGUUUUUGUGAUAUAUAUAGUUAAUUAUAAUCAAGUGAAGAUUACUUGUUUAAAGUGAUUAUGUAAAGUAUUAUUUUAAGUUCAAAAGAGUGCAAGCCUGUGUUGCUACUUUGUCUGUAUUCGAAAGUUUGAUCCAGAUGUUGGUAAAACAUAGAACAUAAACAUAUUUUUUAUUACAUUGAUUUAAAACUUAAGCAAAGUUGUUUAACUAAUAUUGUUAACUUGAAUAAAUUUUCAAACAUUUAUCGGCUUUUUUCAUGAAAUAAGACAAACUACAGUAUUGUUUUUUCCAGUAAUAUAGUAAGACGUGCCAGUUAAAAGAAAUGGUUAAGAAAGAUUCAUGGACGCUUCUAUUUUGAUUUGCCUGUCUUUGUGUCUGUAUACAAUACAAUCAGUUUGCGCAUUAUAGUCACUUUUUAAACAAGAAUCUUGAGUACAUGUAGUGUCAGAAA